rnacentral:rRNA from 1 species
GACGAACCGUGCGAACGUUAUUCGGAAUCACUGGGCUUUAAAGCGCGUGUAGGCGGGACGGCACGUCGGUCGUUUGAAAUCCCCCGGCUCAACCGGGGACGGGCGCCGAUACGACCGUCCUGGAGGGACGUAGGGGGACCUGGAACUUCCGGUGGAGCGGUGAAAUGCGUUGAGAUCGGAAGGAACGCCCGUGGCGAAAGCGAGGUCCUGGACGUUUUCUGACGCUGAGACGCGAAAGCCAGGGGGAGCGAACGGGG